rnacentral:rRNA from 1 species
GACGAACGCUGGCGGCGUGCUUAACACAUGCAAGUCGAGCGGUAAGGCCCUUUCGGGGGUACGACGAGCGGCGAACGGGUAGAGUAACACGUGGGUGACCUGCCCUCAGCUCUGGGAUAAGCCUGGGAAACCGGGUCUAAUACUGGAUAUGACUCCAUGACGCAUGUUGUGGGGUGGAAAGCCUUGUGCGGCUGAGGAUGGGCCCGCGGCCUAUCAGCUUGUU